GUAAUUUCCAUCAGUUUCCAUCUUUUAUCUUUUGUCUUGAAUAAUCUGUCCCAUCAGUCUGUUUGCCCUUCAGCAUCUACUCCCUUUCUGUUUCCCUUUACAAUGAAACACUGAAAUUAAUUGCCUACAAUCUUUAUACAGAAAUGAUCUCCUCCCUUUCUCUUAUAACAAGCCUACUCCGAUCAGGCAUUCACUAGUAUUGAAACAGAAUCUGCUGAUGUUGUACUCAACAAAGACUUCAGAAUGCUAAAUCCCAUUCCUUAUUUUAUUUGAACUAUCACCAACAUUUGAAACCAUGUUUUAUUCUAUUGUCACGGAAACACUUCCUGCAAUUGAUUUCUAUUAUGGUAUGCUAUGGCUCUUCUUCUUGCUAUUCUCUGUUUAAUGGUAGAGUUUCCUAAUGCUCGACACCUGAACAUUUUCUCCAUCUGUGCAUUCUCCUGUCUACUGAUUAUACCGUCUAGACCAUGCCUUUAAGUGCAGUUUAUAUGCUGACAUCCAGACUUCUGUUGAAAACACUCCAUGAAAACUCCACUUGCAAGUUUAAGUAUAACAUAUAUCCAUGGCAGGACACCUCAUCUUCUCAUAUGCUCCCUGUGAUCUUCCACACUGCCACAAAGUCUACUCUACCUGCGAGUUACCAAGGCCAAUAAAGUCAUUCUUGUCAACUCAUUCUCUUAUCUCCCCUAUUUAGUCCAUCAGAAAAUAAAAUGGUUUGAUUUUCAAACUAUUCAGAAUUCGAGAUUUUUAAAAUUGUCUCUCCUGGAAUAACUCGGAGUUAAGCCUUCUUGAUGCUUCACCUGAUUAUUUUGAGACUUCUUUGGGGGUUGUCCUGUUUCUGACCUUGAUCCUAUGACCUCAUAUUUUAUCAACAGAGCAGCAGUUGGGAUGAACCUAUAAAUUAUAAACAGAUCAUCCCCAACCUUUGCUCAGGACCUUCCAUUUCCUCUCC
rnacentral:lncRNA from 1 species